UUCGCAUCGGUAUUCCUGACUGUAGUAAGCUCUGCUGACCCAUUUGAGAACCACACCAUUGCAAAAUACACCUACGUUUUGGAGAUCAGCCCUCAGCUGUGGAGUGACUACACCUUAAACGACUAGUGUAGAGCGCACAGUUCUGAAACUGCACACUGACAUGACACUGCAUUUAUGUCCGGGUCUCUUUAACCACAUUUGCGAGCCUCCAGUGAGCAGUGCAUUUCAAGUAGGGGAUGUUCACAUUGGAAGCGCUUAGGCGACUCACCUUCUUCUUCCUCUUCUUCAGCUUCUUCUUUUUCUUUUCCUUCUUGCCUUUGUCCUCCUCCUCGCUGUCUGAAGAUGGGGAGCUGUGGAAUGAGUACAAGUCAACCUGAAGGAGAGAGAGACUGCAAUUGUUACAACUUGACAGAUGGAUAUGACGGAGUAAAAUUAGAUGAUCGUCCUGCAGGGGCUCUGGGGUCCGUCUUGGCUGCGUUAGUGGUGUCGGUUGAAGACAGCCCUCCAUGCUCUUCCAGCUUCUGUUCACUCCUCCCAGGCUGGAGUUCAUCCAGCGUGCUCAGGACAACUUGUCCUCCCUCUCCAUCUCCAGGCCCUCCCCCUGGAGCUACACAAACCAGCAUAGAUUACCAGGACCUGAGCCCUAGGACCAUACCUCAGGACUACCUGGCAUGAUGACUCCUUGCUGUCCCCAGUCCACCUGGCCGUGCUGCUGCUCCAGUUUCAACUGUUCUGCCUGUGACUAUUAUUAUUUGACCAUGCUGGUCAUUUAUGAACAUUGGAACAUCUUGGCCAUGUUCUGUUAUAAUCUCCACCCGGCACAGCAAGAAGAGGACUGGCCACCCCCCAUAGCCUGGUUCCUCUCUAGGUUUCUUCCUAGGUUUUUGCCUUUCUAGGGAGUUUUUCCUAGCCACCGUGCUUCUACACCUGCAUUGCUUGCUGUUUGGGAUUUUAGGCUGGGUUUCUGUACAUCACUUUGAGAUAUCAGCUGAUGUACGAAGGGCUAUAUAAAUAAAUUUGAUUUGAUUUGAUUAAACUUCCGACUUCAACUGUAGGUCCUGGAUGACAAGAAGCUUGGCCCUACUACUGGUUUGAG
ensembl:lncRNA